CCCUGUUCCCUCCCAAGUUCUGUCCAAAUGGAGCACUGCAAGGACUGGUUCAGUCUCAGGAGCCAGAGGCUGCCCUGGACAACAUCAACUCCAGCCCAGCCACACCCUGAACCUGCCCCCAGGCAGCCUUGGCACUCCCCGCACAGCUUCCCAGCGCUGCAGGAAAAGGGGAAGAGCCCCAUGCGACUGUGUCAGUGCUUGCAGAGAGGCACUAAACACGUUCAGGGCGUAACUCGGAACCGAAUUCGUCCUUGGAAGCAAAGGAGGGAGGCAGCAAGGCUGACAGCAGGACCUGCCAUGGGAAUGCCUGCACCCCGUUUCACAGGAACAGCCCCCCGGGAGUGUUUUCCGCAGCCCUGGCCCAGCCACCCUUUCACUAAUAACACCAGGCUAUCACUAGGCUGAUCAUCCGUAAGUGUUUUCAGGAUCCCCUCUUGCAAACCAGACCCCAUGAAGAGAUUGUGCGCUUGUCUAUGGAUUACAAUUAAACCCUUUGGCCAUCAGCUACCCAAGUUGUAGCAGGCUGGUUUCUGCCUGGCAGUGCUCCUGCGGGUGGAGAUGAGAAUUCUUAAAGCACUGAGGACCGUCUGAGGGAGUGGAACUUCAUCUGCAGUGCCUCUGUCUGGUGGAGACUAAAGGAUGUGAUUUUCCUUAUGAAGCUCCAGUUACCUCUCACUACCUUUUACAAUCCAACUACGCACUGAUUCCCAAACGGAUGCCUACUCCCCUUGGGAUGAACCUCACUUUGGAUAUGCUACCAAUGUUCAACGAGUCCUGAAGACUUUGCAAUGACCCUAUGGAACCCUGCUCAUGAAGACCCCUUGAAAACUGUCGUGAGUCACUGGUUGGUGAUAGAGAUGAUCUGGAGUUCCCCUCAUUUGCCUCACAACCGUCCCAAGGACAGACAUUGGGACCCUGUUCAGAAUUCUGGCCUGCCAGUGGUGGAUGAACGCCAAAUAAUCCCGAGACCCCUGAGCAGAGUUCUGGCCUGCCAAGUGAUUGUUCUCAGCUUUGUUUACAGUGACUGCUUCUGGCAGGGCCUGCCUAGGGGACACCACGCCCUAUAUGCUGGCACAUGUUUCAUGAAAACAGCUUGUGAAUUUCCCUACUUCUUGACCUGUUUGGACUUUUCUGGGGUAACCUUUGGUGGUCUCUCCAUGGAAGACCCCUCAUUUGCCUUUCAACUACUGUGACAGGUGGACUGAGAUGGGAGAAGCCUCUCCCUCAAGGACCGAGACAUGAAACCCCUAUAUGGAGAAGAUCCCCCCUCCCAAUGACCAAGACUGAAACCCCUAACACAGGGAAGGUGUGUGGGGGAGCGCACCUGACUAAAGUGAGAUGGUUGCCUGCAGGUGUGGCCUUUGGACCAAGAAGACAAUGGUUCUUGCCUACUGCUGAGAACAUGGACUGGCUGUAUCCAUCUUCAAUGCCUUCUUUCUCCCUCAGCGAUUUCAAUAGACUUAUUCUUUAUUGUAUCUAUUCCCCCUCAACAGUUAUAAGAUCUGUUCCCCCCCUCUCAGCAAUGGACUAUAAAAGAACCUUGAGUUAACCAGAUUUCUUGUGAUCUCCCCAACGUGACAGCCGGAUUCCUUUGGCUGGAGUAUAAAGGACUUCAUCUCUACAUUUGAUAGCUAUGUUCCUCUCUCUCUCUCUUUCUCCCCUCUCUUUUCUAUUCUUUUCCUGUCCCUAACUUCUUUAAUGCAUUUGCUGGGCUCAUUCAAUAAAGGUGCAUUUGUUUUGAUUGAUGCUGAAA